GCUGGGUGCAGUGGCGCACACCUGAAAUCCCAGCAGCUCAUGAGGCUGAGUCAGGAGGAUCACAAGUUUGAGACCAGCCUCAGCAACUUAGCGAGGUGCUAAGCAACUCAGUGAGACCCUGUCUCUA
rnacentral:sRNA from 1 species